UACGUAGGAGGCGAGCGUUGUCCGGAUUUACUGGGCGUAAAGAGCGCGUAGGCGGCCUGAUAAGUCUGAAGUGAAAUCUCCUGGCUCAACUAGGAGGGUGCUUUGGAUACUGUCAAGCUGGAGUGCAUCAGAGGAAAGCGGAACUCCCGGUGUAGUGGUGAAAUGCGUAGAUAUCGGGAAGAACACCAGUGGCGAAGGCGGCUUUCUGGGGUGUAACUGACGCUGAGGCGCGAAAGCGUGGGGAGCGAACCGG
rnacentral:rRNA from 1 species